rnacentral:tRNA from 1 species
GGCGGCAUGACCAAGUGGUAAGGCAGGGGACUGCAAAUCCUUUACCCCCAGUUCAAAUCUGGGUGCCACCU